GGCAAAUCUACAGAUGUCAGGACUUGAGACACGAUUACUGGGAAAAAGGAAGUAAUCCGGGAGUUUCAUCGAUGACCGAUUGCAAGGUACUGGCACCGAGCAGCGCACCAGCGAGGUCUGCCUGCCAGCUUGGUUUCCUCCGGCUUCCAGAUUAACAUUCCAGCGACCAGAGCGGUUGCGGAUUGUGCGGCCUGAAGAUACGAACGAUCGUUGGACCAUUCCGCAAACACGGAAAAGGGAACAUCUACCCCGACACAGAAGCGUACAGCUGCAAUUUUCUUUCCGAAAUUGCUGAACACGAUGACGACGAGGUGACGAACAUACACAACUUGAGGCUGAAGCACGAUACAGAUGGAUUUACUACCACGGCGGAUGGACCUCGAUAUCUGUCGAUUGCGGGGCGGGGAAUCGAUCGCGUUUUACGCAGAACUUUCACGUCCGACGUGUUCCGCCAGUCGGGCACCUUCGUCGGCAGAAGAGGGCCGGCACCGCCCCUGCGGCCUUCGCUGGUCCAGACAGCCGAGGCGGAGGGAAUCUGAUCCGAAAAUAAAUAAGAGUUCAUCAGUGGACGCUGCAGUCCCGUGACACGUCACGAUAGGAACGUAUACGAGCUUCUGGGAACCACUGCACAUGGGCGAAGUUCUUGGGCCUACACGCGAGCGGGCGUGUAGGAG